CCUACGGGGUGCUGCAGUGGGGAAUAUUGGACAAUGGGCGAAAGCCUGAUCCAGCCAUGCCGCGUGUGUGAAGAAGGCCUUCGGGUUGUAAAGCACUUUCAGUGGGGAAGAAAGCCUUGGGGCUAAUACCCUCGAGGAAGGACAUCACCCACAGAAGAAGCACCGGCUAACUCCGUGCCAGCAGCCGCGGUAAUACGGAGGGUGCGAGCGGUAAUCGGAAUUACUGGGCGUAAAGCGCGCGUAGGCGGUCUGAUAAGCCGGUUGUGAAAGCCCCGGGCUCAACCUGGGAACGGCAUCCGGAACUGUCAGGCUAGAGUGCAGGAGAGGAAGGUAGAAUUCCCGGUGUAGCGGUGAAAUGCGUAGAGAUCGGGAGGAAUACCAGUGGCGAAGGCGGCCUUCUGGACUGACACUGACGCUGAGGUGCGAAAGCGUGGGUAGCAAACAGGAUUAGAUACCCCGGUAGUC
rnacentral:rRNA from 1 species